CCUACGGGAUGCAGCAGUGGGGAAUAUUGCACAAUGGGGGAAACCCUGAUGCAGCGACGCCGCGUGAGUGAAGAAGUAUCUCGGUACGUAAAGCUCUAUCAGCAGGGAAGAAAAUGACGGUACCUGACUAAGAAGCCCCGGCUAACUACGUGACAGCAGCCGCGGUAAUACGUAGGGGGCAAGCGUUAUCCGGAUUUACUGGGUGUAAAGGGAGCGUAGACGGCAUGGCAAGUCUGAAGUGAAAGCCCGGGGCUCAACCGCGGGACUGCUUUGGAAACUGUUAAGCUGGAGUGCAGGAGAGGUAAGUGGAAUUCCUAGUGUAGCGGUGAAAUGCGUAGAUAUUAGGAGGAACACCAGUGGCGAAGGCGGCUUACUGGACUGUAACUGACGUUGAGGCUCGAAAGCGUGGGGAGCAAACAGGAUUAGAUACCCUAGUAGUC
rnacentral:rRNA from 1 species